rnacentral:rRNA from 1 species
UACAGAGGGGGCAAGCGUUGUUCGGAAUUACUGGGCGUAAAGGGCGCGUAGGCGGCCUUCUACGUCGAACGUGAAAUCCCCGGGCUCAACCCGGGAACUGCGUCCGAUACUGGAAGGCUUGAAUCCGGGAGAGGGAUGCGGAAUUCCAGGUGUAGCGGUGAAAUGCGCAGAUAUCAGGAAGAACACCCGUGGCGAAGGCGGCUCUCUGGGACGGUACUGACGCUGAGACGCGAAAGCGUGGGGAGCGAACAGG